rnacentral:rRNA from 1 species
UACGGAGGGUGCAAGCGUUGUUCGGAAUUACUGGGCGUAAAGGGCUCGUAGGCGGCCAACUAAGUCAGACGUGAAAUCCCUCGGCUUAACCGGGGAACUGCGUCUGAUACUGGAUGGCUUGAGAUUGGGAGAGGGAUGCGGAAUUCCAGGUGUAGCGGUGAAAUGCGUAGAUAUCUGGAGGAACACCGGUGGCGAAGGCGGCAUCCUGGACCAACACUGACGCUGAGGAGCGAAAGCCAGGGGAGCAAACGGG